rnacentral:lncRNA from 1 species
UCCCUCAAAUUAUGCACAAAAUUCAAUUUUUGAACAAACCCCACUUCAGGUUUUCAGCACAAAAUAAACCCCACUUCAGAUUCAGCUGAAAAUUCAAUCUUGAUCAAACCCUCAAGAUAAAAUCUCUAGGCGUAUCGAUCCAUGCCAAAUUUGAAAACAAACCCACUAAUUACCUAUGUCUGUAUAGCCGUCUACCCAAGACUAUUUUUUGCACAUUUGCAGCUGAAAGAAUCAAGAAAAUGGUAACUCUAGAAUCUACACACCUUCAACAAGCGACCCUUUUCAGCUCUAGAAUCUACAAGUGGAGUCUAUGGGUUCUCAACUUCCCACUAAACUCCUCUUGAUUAUUGGGUAAUAGAAUAUUAGCAAUAGCUAUCGGGUUCCUUCCAAACCGAAUUGUCUAGCUCAACCCUUACUUCUUUAUCAUUAGUAUUAGUAAAGAUUGUUGUGUUUUCUCUCUUUUCUAAGGUUUUGGCUUUUUGUUCUCUCUUUCUAAUUGUUUCAUUCACAUCUUUAUUCAUUUGGCCAAAAUUUUCC